rnacentral:rRNA from 1 species
AGAGUUUGAUUCUGGCUCAGGACGAACGCUGGCGGCGUGCUUAAUACAUGCAAGUUGAGCGGAGCUAAUAGUGAGUUACUUAUAUUAGUCGAGCAGCGGACGGGUGAGUAACGCGUGGGCAAUCUGCCCUCUAGUUUGGGAUAACAGUUCGAAAAGGACUGCUAACACCGAAUAAUCUUAAAUUUGGGCAUCUAAAUUUAAGGAAAGUUAACGCUAGAGGAUGAGCCCGCGUCCCAUUAGCUAGUUGGUGAGGUAACGGCCCACCAAGGCAACGAUGGGUAGCCGACCUGAGAGGGUGACCGGCCACACUGGGACUGAGACACGGCCCAGACUCCUACGGGAGGCAGCAGUAGGGAAUUUUCCGCAAUUAGGACGAAAGUCUGACGGAGCAACGCCGCGUGAGGGAUGAAGGUUUUCGGAUCGUAAACCUCUGUCCUUGGGGAAGAUAAUGACGGUACCCAAGGAGGAAGCCACGGCUAACUACGUGCCAGCCGCCGC